GGGCUUCAGGCUUAAGAGACCCAGAUCUCAAGCUCUACGUCCCCUCCCAGGUCCUCUGGGAGCCUGCGGGCCGGAAGCCGGGCAAGAGCCUGGCGGGGUGAAGGGUCAGCCGUGUGUCCCCGCCUCCGGCCUGAGCCUCGGGUCCCGGACAGGGAAGGGUUACCUGGCGGCCCGCCCCCCCCCUCCGGCCCGCCUCCCUCCCGCGCUUGCUGGCGACUCCGUGUCCCGCGCCUGUUUGUGCUGCAGCGCAGGGGCUCCGGACGGCCCGUCACCGCACCCCGGGAGCCUAACCCCGAGAGAGUAAAAGAACCGGUUCCACAGCGCCCCCCUCUAACUCCUGACCCCCACGCUCGUCAGCGCCCCCGAGGGGUGGCACGGCUCCCCUCCGCGCGCGCUCGAGUGCUUCCUUCCCCUCUCCCUAGCCAUGGCCCCCGCGGCUUAGACGCCUCCGACGACGCUGCUCGGAGCAACGCGGGGGCCGGAUGGACGGGGCUGCGGGGCCCGGUGAGGGCCCUGCUCAUGAGACCCUGCAGACCCUGAGCCAGCGACUUCGGGUGCAGGAAGAAGAGAUGGAACUGGUAAAAGCGGCUUUAGCAGAAGCCCUUCGCCUGCUGCGGCUGCAUGGCUCCACCACAACCCUGCAGGGCUCUGGCAUAUCAGCCCCGACAAGGAACAGCAGCAUCACAGUCCCUCCAGGACUGCCACCUACAUGCAGCCCUUCCUUGGUGACCAGAGGCACCCAAACGGAAGAAGAAUUGGAGAUUGUUCCAUCCUCUGGACCCCCUGGCCUGAGCAAUGGUCCUCCAGCUCUUCAGGGGGGCAGUGAAGAACCUAGUGGGACCCAGUCUGAAGGAGGGUGCAGCAGCAGCAGUGGGGCAGGCUCCCCUGGCCCCCCAGGAAUCCUCAGGCCGGUGCAGCCUCUUCAGCGUUCUGACACGCCCCGAAGAAAUUCUUCCUCCUCCUCCUCCCCCUCAGAGCGGCCCAGGCAGAAACUCUCCAGGAAGGCAGCUUCCUCAGCUAACCUGCUAUUGCGGUCAGGGAGCACAGAGAGCCGGGGGAACAAAGACCCUCUGUCCAGUCCUGGGGGUCCCGGAUCUCGGAGGAGCAAUUAUAACUUAGAAGGCAUUUCAGUGAAGAUGUUCCUUCGUGGCCGUCCCAUCACCAUGUACAUUCCGUCUGGCAUCCGAAGUCUUGAGGAGCUGCCCAGCGGCCCGCCCCCAGAGACCCUGAGCCUCGACUGGGUUUAUGGGUACAGGGGUCGUGAUUCUCGCUCUAAUCUAUUUGUGCUGCGCUCUGGGGAGGUGGUCUACUUUAUUGCCUGUGUAGUGGUGCUGUACCGGCCUGGGGGAGGCCCAGGGGGUCCUGGAGGUGGCGGCCAGAGACAUUACCGGGGUCACACAGACUGCGUUCGAUGCCUUGCUGUUCACCCUGAUGGUGUUCGUGUAGCCUCAGGACAGACAGCUGGAGUGGACAAGGAUGGAAAGCCCCUGCAGCCCGUGGUUCAUAUCUGGGACUCAGAGACACUCCUAAAACUGCAGGAGAUUGGACUGGGUGCCUUUGAGCGAGGUGUGGGGGCCUUGGCCUUUUCAGCAGCGGAUCAAGGUGCUUUUCUGUGUGUGGUGGAUGAUUCCAAUGAGCACAUGCUGUCAGUGUGGGACUGUAGCCGGGGAGUGAAGCUGGCUGAGAUUAAGAGUACAAAUGACUCAGUCCUCGCUGUUGGCUUCAGCCCUCGUGACAGCAGCUGUAUUGUCACCAGUGGGAAAUCGCAUGUCCACUUUUGGAACUGGAGCGGUGGGACAGGGGCUCCCGGGAAUGGGCUCCUCGCCCGGAAGCAGGGUGUUUUUGGGAAAUACAAGAAACCCAAGUUCAUCCCUUGCUUUGUCUUCCUUCCUGAUGGAGACAUCCUCACUGGAGAUUCCGAGGGGAACAUUCUUACCUGGGGUCGAAGUGUCUCAGAUUCCAAGACCCCAGGCAGGGGUGGGGCCAAAGAGACCUACACGAUCGUGGCCCAGGCCCAUGCUCACGAGGGGUCCAUCUUUGCCCUGUGUCUCCGCCGGGAUGGGACAGUGCUGAGUGGUGGUGGGCGGGACCGACGACUGGUGCAGUGGGGGCCCGGGUUGGUGGCCCUCCAGGAGGCAGAGAUUCCAGAACACUUUGGAGCUGUGAGGGCCAUUGCUGAAGGGCUUGGCUCUGAGCUGCUGGUGGGAACCACAAAGAAUGCAUUACUGAGGGGAGAUCUGGCUCAAGGCUUCUCCCCUGUUAUCCAGGGCCACACUGAUGAGCUCUGGGGACUGUGUACACAUCCGUCCCAGAAUCGCUUCCUCACCUGUGGCCAUGACCGGCAGCUCUGCCUGUGGGAUGGGGAAGGCCAUGCACUGGCCUGGAGCAUGGACCUAAAGGAGACGGGUUUAUGUGCUGACUUCCACCCAAGUGGGGCAGUUGUGGUUGUAGGACUGAACACAGGGAGGUGGUUGGUUUUGGACACAGAGACCAGAGAGAUUGUAUCCGAUGUCACUGACGGCAAUGAACAGCUCUCAGUUGUCCGGUACAGCCCAGAUGGGUUGUACCUGGCUAUUGGUUCCCAUGACAACAUGAUCUACAUCUAUAGUGUUUCCAGUUGUGGCACUAAGUCCAGCCGCUUUGGCAGAUGUAUGGGGAUGUGGCUGGAGGCUGCAAACUGCUGAGGAACCGCUAUGAGAGCAGAGACCGGGAGUGGGCUACCUAUACCUGUGUGCUGGGCUUCCACGUCUAUGGUGUGUGGCCUGAUGGCUCUGAUGGGACAGACAUCAACUCCCUUUGCCGCUCCCACAAUGAACGGGUGGUGGCUGUGGCAGACGACUUCUGCAAAGUACACCUCUUUCAGUACCCAUGUGCUCGAGCCAAGGCGCCAAGUCGUAUGUACUCAGGCCAUGGCAGCCAUGUGACUAGUGUCCGGUUCACGCACGACGACUCAUACCUUGUCUCCUUAGGUGGCAAGGAUGCUAGCAUCUUUCAGUGGCGAGUGCUGGGGGCAGGGAGCUCUGGGCCCGCUCCUGCCACACCAUCUAGAACGCCCUCUCUGUCCCCUGCCUCCUCCCUGGACGUGUGAUUGAUGCUGGAUGGUCUUGUCCCUCUGGUACUGUGGUCUGGCCCCACCCUGGCCAAAACCCCUAGGACCAAGGACAGUCUUUUCCUGUGCUGGCUUUUUCUUUGACUUCAUACAUUCCCAAUUGCGCAUUUUUCUGGAGGGGCUAACCACCCCACUGCACACAAAAUAACAACAGACUUGCUGGCUGAGCCAGGCAACCCAGCUCCGACACCCUCUGCUCGGUGAGGGGCAAUAAAAAGAAAAAAGUAA